UGGGGAAUAUUGGACAAUGGGCGCAAGCCUGAUCCAGCCAUGCCGCGUGAGUGAUGAAGGCCCUAGGGUUGUAAAGCUCUUUCACCGGUGAAGAUAAUGACGGUAACCGGAGAAGAAGCCCCGGCUAACUUCGUGCCAGCAGCCGCGGUAAUACGAAGGGGGCUAGCGUUGUUCGGAUUUACUGGGCGUAAAGCGCACGUAGGCGGACUAUUAAGUCAGGGGUGAAAUCCCGGGGCUCAACCCCGGAACUGCCUUUGAUACUGGUAGUCUUGAGUUCGAGAGAGGUGAGUGGAAUUCCGAGUGUAGAGGUGAAAUUCGUAGAUAUUCGAAGGAACACCAGUGGCGAAGGCGGCUCACUGGCUCGAUACUGACGCUGAGGUGCGAAAGCGUGGGGAGCAAACAGG
rnacentral:rRNA from 1 species